ACAAUUGAUGUGGCUGGAAUCGGUAAACCAGUUAAUGACGAGAUGACCGACUGAGAGCGAAAACAAUUUUAGAUAGCCAGAAGCAUUGUUAUUUAACCAGUCUUGGAACUGAUUCAUAAUCUUGCAAAUUUGCGAAUUACAGCUUUCGUAUCAUUAAGCAAAUAGACAGUACUACUGAAAAAAAUAUCAUACUUCAGUGCUCUCUUUUCAUAAAUCUACUGUGGAGAUAACCACAAUUAAGGUGAUGUUAUAUACUAUUUUGUGUCUUUUAUUUAUGCUUUUAUUAAUUAGUUGUAUUGUGUUGUUUUUUUUUUAUGAGGU